UUCAGUGGCCAGCAAAGACCCAACCCAGGAGGCAGCCAGCUAAGGUGAGCCUUUUUCUCUUAGGUAUGAAAUACGUGGCUACUACAUGGAGGAAAGCACAAGUAUCUCAUCUACUGGGUUAAAACCAGAUUGGAUUGAUUCAAAUACGUCAAAAUUGUCCUUGGCUUUGGACACAAUCCUUUAUAUAGGAUUGGAAAGAAAUGUUCCGGAUCUGUGUGCGGCCACAGAGAUGAAAAGUGCAGUUAAUCACUAUUGUCAUUUUGAUGAUCAGUUAAAGAUCACACAGACAGCUCCAGAGAGAUGAGAAGCUGCUAAACCCAGGAGCCUCCUGAGGUUUUGUCUGACUKCAGUUAAUGAGAUCAGCGUCUCCUGAACCUGGCUCUGGCCGUGUGACUCAGCUGGGAUCAGACAGCAUCACCUCCUGAUGGGCUCCUUUCCCAUUGCCACUGCUGGCUGCAGUCACCUGGACAGAACAGUCACUUCCCAGCCAGUUCAGACACUCCACAUGGGAAUGGAAAGCACUUAAAACAGGUCGAGUAUUUUUUAAGGCAUUCAGGCUCUGAAUUGCCUUUCCUGGGGAGUCCUGUGGGCUUUGGGGCAGUCUGAGAACUACCUCGACACAUGGAA